UGCGGUAUCCUGACCGUGCUAAGGUAGCGUGAUAAAUCGCCCUUUAAUUGUGGGCCUGUACGAAUGGAUAAACGAGAGUUAACCUGUCUCUCUAGUACUACUAAAAAUUAAUCUCCAGGUGAAGAAACCUGGAUACAUUCAGCGGACAAAAAGACCCUACAGAGCUUCGUUAAACCAAACAUAAACUUUAAUAAAUUCCAUAUAAAUUUACCUAAACUAUUUAACUUAACUGGGGCGGUUGAGGAAAAAUAUUAAUCUUCCAUCUUUAACUUCAUCAAGACCUCCAGUCUACCUUAAUGAUCUUUUUAAACCAUAGAAUAAGCUACCUUAGGGAUAACAGACUAAUCCUCCUCAAGAGUACACAUUGACAGGAGGGAUUGGCACCUCGAUGUUGGCUUAGGGUAACUGAUGGGUAGCAACAGCCCAUACAGUAGGUUUGUUCAACCUUUAAUUCCCUACAUGAUCUGAGUUCAAACCGGAGAC
rnacentral:rRNA from 1 species